AGGCCGAAGGCUCUCCUGAAUCCUCAGGUACCCCAGAUGCCCCAGAUUCUCCUGACACCUCAGGUACUCCAGAGGCCCAAGGAUCCCCUGACACCUCUGGUACCCCAGGUUCUCCUGAGACCUCAGGUACCCCAGAUGCCCCAGAUUCUCCAGACACCUCAGGUACUCCAGAGGCCAAAGGAUCCCCUGACACCUCUGGUAACCCAGAGGCUCCAGACACCCAAGAGAUCCCAGACUCCCCAUAAUCCCCAGAGGCUUCGUGUGGAAGGGUUUCAAGGAUCGGGUGGAGCUCCUCCUCUUGUAAGAGACAAGGUGGGGUGGCAAAAAGGAAAUUAGCCUCCUCAACAGCAGAUGAUAGAUAACAGCAUGGCAACAAUGCUGGCAAUGAUAAUGAGGUAGCCAUUUUUGAAUCAAGAUUGUAACCAAUACAAAAAUAUAAAUGGUUGUGAAUUCCAGAUCAUGGUUACUUGCUUUCAAAUAUUUAGGAUAUCCCUCCCCACUGCAGUCUAACGGGUAUAUACCAUACAUUGGACACCACCUCACCCAGAUAUAACAAAGAAAUAAAUACUAUGUUGAAGUAAUCAAGAACCCCCUUAAG